rnacentral:lncRNA from 1 species
AAUUUAGAAGAUGACAGGAAUUAUUUGCUAAUUGUUUAGGAUUAAUUCUUGAUCAUUUAUGUGUUUUAAUGGAGUCCAUAAUUUGUCCUCAAGUUAUGGAUAUCCAAAGGUCACUUUUCUUUAACACACAUUAAAAACACAUAAGUUACAUAAAAUGAAGAGUCUUCAUUUUAUGAACCUUUAAUUCAUAAGUUAUGAAAUGAAAAGUUUUGAAGAGUUACAAAACUUGCCCUCAAGUUUUGGAAUUUGGAAAAGUUUCACACACUUUAAUAAACUUUAAUUCCAAACCUUAGAGUUUUAAAAGUUAAAAUUCAACACUUAUACUAUUUAUAACAUUAAUGGUUAAUUAUUAUAUAUAUGUAUAAGAACAAGUCGUUUUACCGUUAGUAGGCCUCAUUCACGAAGCCGGUCUAUAAGGUGGGUAUAAGGUUGUUGCCUAUAAAAUGGCGACUUAAUGGGUGUCCACUCUCACCCACCGCUUGCUUGAUCGGUGGAGGGUCGUUAGCCGAACGGGUAGGACAAUGACUUUAAAUUCUCAUUAAAAGUAUAAUUAUUAUUAUAAAUUAACUAAAUAUUUUUUUUAUUUAAUUCUCAAUCUUUGUUACUUUAGGAAAAAUGUGAAUUUGGUGCUAGCCCAUGAAAUUCACACUUUGUACCUUACCAAGUCGUUGUUGGAGCGUGUGUGGUUAACCGGCACACUAACUUGGACUAGUAAGGAUCACGAAGGGUGACUUAAUGUUUGUCAUAGAUCAAUGGAGCGUGUGUGGUUAACCGGCACAUUGAUUAGGUGAUAAUAUUAAGGGUACCAAGUGAAUUGGUAUGGUUAUUCACACCUUGUUUUGUGAUCCUCGGCAUCCCAGUCACAAAAUUUGAGAGGGCACACUCGAGAUUGAAACAUGCCAUUGAAAAGUUCAAUGAAUCUCAAAAGAUCUAGGAAUUUCAAAUCCAAUUAAAACCUAAUAAAUUAUUUCGUUUUUCAUGGUGGAAAUUGGUGAAUCGUCAUUCGCCUACCUUCAAAUAUUUUAUAGCUUGGAUUACGGCAUCCCUCUUCCAAAUUAUAAAAUAUUGUGUUGGGUCCUAGCCUUAAUAUUUCAUAUUGGGUGUUAUAUUAAGGACUUUGAAUCAACUAACUUGAUUUUCUCCCAUUAUAGAUGUCUGGUUCAGACAACUAUGAUCUUCCCAAAUCUCUUGAAGAUGGUGUCCCUCAACAUCAUGCUUCACUUCCUCCACCUCCUCCAAUUAUUCUCCCUCACCCACAAGUUCUUGAAAAGUUUAAAGUCACUCAAUCCCUAUUGGCAAGCAUAGUCUAUGUGUGCUCACAUCUUGGAGAUAAAGUCACAUAUUGACAAGCCGGGAGAGUUGGGUGUCAAAGUCUCGUGAAAGUUGGAUGUUCAAUCACUUUCUUAGUAACAUAGUGAGUCUCUUUGGGACUACUAUGAGACAGACUAUGACAUGACCCUUAAUGAUGUUAUCUAUUUGCUUGGUGUUGUGGAAUCAGCAAUGAUUUGGAACACCAGUAAAGCAAAUUUGAUUAAAAGAACAACUUCCCAAGUCUUAAAUGGACAUUGACAAUGGUAGCAUUGGAUAUCUAGAAAAGGAUUUCUCUUCCCAAUGGAAAGGGAUCGGCCAUAGUCAACUCGGUUGACCAAAUGGUAAAGAGAAAGGCUAAGUCUGAGAUAGUCUCAUGUGCCAUUACCAAAGGGUCCAUGUGUUUUGUUGCCAAAGGAAGGGGCAUUGGUUGCGAAGCUGCCCUAUUCACCUGAAAGGUCAUAAGGUUGAUCAAGUCAAGAGGUUUGACUCUACUUCGGGUAAAGUCCACUGUCUAACUCUAUUAAGUUCCUAUUUGGAGAUUCUUAUUACAUAAUGUGAAUGGGUCACAUGCUGAUGUUUUUAAGAAUCAAAGAAAAGAUAGGAAGCUUAAAGUAAGUAUAUGUUGAUUCUGAUUGCGAAGGUGGGUUUCGAUCGCAUGGUUCGGUAAUCAGAAUUUUGAGCUGUUGCUUAAGAGUUAUAAUAUAUUGCUUAUGAAUAGAUAACAACAAGGUUUUCAUGUGGAUUGUAAGGAUAAGUUUUUCCGCAAAGUUUUAAAAAAAAAAAAAAAAAGGGUUUUAAUUUUAUUUAUUUUAAAAAUAUCCUUACAAUGGCAUCUGUGGAAAAUUGUUGCUUAUAUGUUUCCAGUAAUAGCAAUAUUGGAAAGUGGAUUUGAUUCUUUCAUUUGUGGUAGUGUCUGAAUUUACCAAAUGAAGAAAGUUUUUCAUCACCCAAGUUUCAAUUGGACAGAAACUUGGAAUCAUACAAGUUGUAUUGUAUGAUGAAUGAGAAUUUUCAUCUUUGAAAAUUAAGACUAAUUCUUUGAUCACAUGUAUAUGUGAGUCAAUUGAAGGACUAAGGAAUUAGGUACACUGGGUGUGCGCUGGUCAAGGUCCACCACAAAGAUUGAUUUGUCAUGAUUUACUAAAGAUUAGUAAAUAUGAUUAUACUUAUGAGGUUAAGUAUAAUUCUGUAACAUUGGAAAGGUUACAAUGUAUGACAAAACAAAUGAGAAGAAUCAAAUUAGGCAGAAAGAUAAAAGUUUCUCAAAUCUGAAAGGAUGGGAGAGUACUUUAGUAUCGUAUUUCAUGAUCAUCUUAAUGAUUAUGAAACCAUAUCACAAAUUCAUACUCUAAGGACGUCUUAGUGCAUUGUUAUGGCUAAGAAGAGAGGUCAUGAAUUGUUGGAUUGGUUAAAAUCAAGAAGAUGAGUCAUACUUCGUUCCAAAACAAUUCUUAGAGUCAUACUCCAAGAUUGUAACUUUGAGUGACAUAAAGGAAGAUUUAUUAACACUAGUCAAAUGUAAGAGUAAAAUGUUUUCUACUCUUGUACAUUUGAGAUUGGUAAGUUGUGAUGUCUUGGAUGAGACAAAGACCAACUAAGACCAAUUGUGUGAAGUGUUAGUCUUGAUAAGAAUCCGCACUAUCCCUUGAAUAUUUGUUUUGUCAAGGAAUGGUUCUUGACUGGGGAAACUUAUAUGUCAAGGGGACAGUGGGAGCCUUAAAGAUCCUGAAAGAGUUUCAAGAUUUAAUCAAGAGUAAAACCUGUAAUUUAUCACUAGCACACGACUUAAGGUUUGCAACCUAUCGUGUUGACAUAAUUCUUAUUUCUGUACCUACUUCAAAUAAGUUGAAUUUGCAUGUGAGUUAUCAGAGUUCAACUUGGAAGCAUUGGUGGGCCUUGUGCUACCAAGGUGACAAGAAACUAAGAUUGAACAAGUUUAAUCCAUGUAAGGCUGAAUUUGUCACUAACCUUAUCUUGUGAUUAUGGUUUUGACAAAUUCACAUGGAUAGGAACUCAUACACUAUAAAAUCUAAGUGUCAUAAGGUUUCUCUCCGAUUCAUGAAAAUGAUGGUGAGGAAACGCUUUCACUAAGUAGAUUUUACGUAGAUAUCAAUUGUGUUAUUUGCAUUUUCAAAAGUCGUUAGUGGAGCGCGUGUGGUUAACCGGCACACUAACAUGGACUUGUGAGAAAUGGCAAAUGCCUAAGCAAUUGAGACUAUGAUUACGGCAUCCCUUUUCAUAGUUCUGAAAAUUGUUUAGACACACAUGUGAGCUAUCUAAGAAAGGGUGUAUGAAUCUAAAUUUCAGAAGUCCAGCAGAUUUCUGGAAAUAUGUCAGAGCUAGUGGGAGCAUAAGUGUUAUGCUGAUAAUCAUCAUGUUAGUGGGAGCAUGAUUAUUACGUUUAGUGUUGCAAGUUAGCAAUGUUAAUUAUAGAAAACAAAGUUUCAAUUCGUGAAGUUGCAGGGGUUGAAAAGUUGUUUUGCUAUAAUUAAGGGAGAGGAAAUUAUACUUCAUUUCAAUUCUAAAGCUUAGAUUGAGAUUUUAAUCAUCUUUAGUCAAGAAUAUAUAUAUGAAUUUUAUGUUGGAAUGGUUCAACUUGAAGAAAUUCUAUAUAUAUUGCGUUUUCAAAAUUCGAUUAUGAUUACGGCAUCCCUCUUCAUAGUUAAAUUUUGAAAACAUGGCAAAUAAAAAAUAUUGUAGCAAAAGACUGGUCUAGUAUCAUGUCUUUAUGUCAAACAUCAUGAAUCGUGUCCCAUAUGCUUCGGAUAUAGGAUCGAUUGCAUGUGCUAUAAUAUUCAUCUUUUCUAAAUUUUCCAAAUGCUUAAGGCAUUGAGAAGGGAAAAGUCUAGAACUGGAUAUGACUAAAGUGAUUAAGCAAUUGUCGAGGACAAUCUGAGGUUCGCCAAAGAUUGGUUGCUCAGGGAAAGUUGGAAGUAUGAUGUAAGUUGUCGGAAAGGACCAUAUUGACAUAUUCUGAAAAGAAGUAACUCUUGUUCGGAAGUGAUAGUCAAAAUGGGACUAUGGAAAUGUCUCCAUAGGUGGAAGUUAUUCAAUCUAUGUAAGAUUAGAAAACCUUAAUGCAAGAAGGAUGUUCAAAGCAAUGUACUUUGAAUAUGAGACUUCCGUUCCAUAGAAGUUGACCUUCUUUGGAAUACUCUGUAAUGACUGGUGACAAGGUUUUGGUGACUUUGUGCAUAAUCAUUACAAGAGGAACAUUGCAUAAAAGUUUAAAAUCUAACAGAUUUUUUGGUAAAUGAUAGGAAUCGGGGAUUCUCACAUUUACAAUAAGGAUUUGGGAUUGUGAAAUGAGUAUCAUUGGAAUCAUGUUCAAUUGAUCUACAUCACAAUGUAAGGAUCAUAGACAAACAUAGUGUGCAUACUUGGAGUAUGGCAUAACUAUUGUUUAGAAAAACAAAGUGUACAUGCUAGGAGCAUGGGACGACUGUUGUUUUUAUUCAAGUCUUAAGUUGAUUGUUUGAAACAUUAUACAAUGAAUAAUGUGUAAUCAAUAUGGUGAUAAAUAAAAGGUGGUUCUAUUUAUAUUCAAAAGGGUUCUGAGACCAUAUUGGAUUCGAUUAUUAUUGUGUUUCACUUUGCAUGUUUUGACUUCCAAAAUAGCUAGGUUAUUCUUUCCGAAUGACUAAGUUAUUUAAACACUCCACAGUCGUUCAUAUGUUGGAAGUAGGUAUGAAUCAAGACUGUCAUGAAUCGAGUUUGUAGAUGGCUAAAUGGGUUUAGUCAUAGCAAUGGUUGCUACAACAUUCAUGAGUGCUCAUAAGUUAUGAGUAUUGGAAUAAACCCACGCUCACUUGUAUCACUUCAUGGAAUUUAUCUCGAGUGAUCGUGAGACGGUAAUAUCAUAUAAAUCUUCAAACCUAGAGAUAUGAGUUGUUACCUAUGAGUUGGUUGUGCAUUGAUUGCACGUAAACGCAUCAGUAACUUGAUGUUAUAAAACGUGCCUUUGUGUACAAUUCAACAAGUAGUAGAACAAGCAUAUGAGUCGAAGUUUAUCUGUUCCUUCUAGAAAUAGAAGCGAUAUCUGGGCCCCUCGAUGAUUUUGUUGUGACCUAUGUACCGGCCGGUCAGAACUAAAUUGAUGUGUUCGAUUAAGUUCUUUGUCAAACAAAUCGAAAAUCGGGAAACAAACUGCUGGACAAUAAGUACGACGUUGUUCCAUGUAUUUGUCCGGCUGAUAUCAUGAGAACAGAGGAUUAUAUGAUCACUUAUCUAAAAUGGCGCUUCAUAGUUCAACAGAGUUUUCGAGAGCUACGAUUGCUGGUUGGUUCCUGAAGUAACAUACGCAAAUAUAGUUAUUAGACUUAUCCAAGUGGGAGUCUGUUGGAUAAGGUGUCUAAGUCCAUAACUUAUUUGGUAUAUACUUGACCCGACCCGGCAUGGUCCAUUUGGGUUGCAUCUCACCCGAACUAUUUAUGGAUAAUUUUAUGAGAGUUAUACACAUAUGUUUAUUAAUAUAUUAUAAGUUAUAAUAUAUUAAUAUGAAGUUAUGUUAUUUAAUUAGUCUUAGUCUUAAAUUAAUUAUGAAUUAAUUUAGAGAUUAAAAGGAAGACUAAUUAGAUUAUGGGCUAUUGGUUUUAUAUGGUGUGGGCUAACACUCAUUUGUUAAUGGGCUAGGCUUAUAUGGAAGUCCAUGGAUGAUCCAUGGAGCUUUUAACCCAUGGAUCCUUGGAAAAGGAAAGGUCAUGGGUUAUUAGGGUUUCACCCUAACCAUGCACACUAUAUAAGCAUGCUUAUGGAGCAUGAAAUGGCAACUAGUGAACUAGUGUGUGUGUGCUUGUGUGUGGCCAAAAAUACAAGUGUGUAUACUCUCUCAAAGUUUUCCAAGAGUUUGUGGUGUUUUGUGAUUCCAUUUGAGGCAUUCACACUAUUGGUGCUUGGCCCUCAAACUCCUUAAGAACCAAACUCAUCAAAAAGGUAUGUAAUCUCUUCUAACUCUUUUAUGUUGAAAUGUUCCCCAUGCCAUGUUAGAUAGGUUAUGAACCUUGGAAAAUUAUUAUUUUGCAUGUAUUUAGACAAACAUAGAUCCAAGGUUUAUUAGGGUUGCAUGCACACUUAGGAAGUGUUAGAUUGCUCAAAACCCAACAGUGGUAUCAGAGCCUAGGCUUGCUUGUUUGAUACUUGAUGCAAAAUAGUGAAAAAAGUUGAAAUUGUUGCUGUCUGGCUGAUGGACUCGCCGAGUCCAUGGGGGGACUCGCCGAGUUCAAGGCAAAAUUCAUCCUACUCGGCGAGUAGGUUCGUGCACUCGGCGAGUAGAAUGAUCAGAAUGCAGAAUUUCGACUUUUGCUGCUGGAAAUGGACUAGAAACAUUACCCUAAACUGUUUUGGUGUUUUAAAACUUGUUUUAGUUGGUGUAAUGGUUGUUCUAAUCCAUUUACAAUAGCAUAUAUCAAAAUUCCAUGAUUUUUAUGUGUUCAUAUAAUUCUUGAAAUUUUGAUGAUCAUGUUCAUGUUCUUAUGAAUUUAGAAGAUGAUAGGAAUUAUUUGCUGAAUUGUUUAGAAUUAAUUCUUGAUCAUUUAUGUGUUUUAAUGGAGUCCAUAAUUUGUCCUCAAGUUAUGGAUAUCCAAAGGUCACUUUUCUUUAACACACACAUUUAAACACAUAAGUUACAUGAAAAUGAAGAGUCUUCAUUUUUAUGAACCUUUAAUUCAUAAGUUAUGAAAUGAAAAGUUUUGGAUAGUUACAAAACUUGCCCUCAAGUUUUGGAAUUUGAAAAGUUUCACACACUUUAAUAAACUUUAAUUCCAACACUUAGAGUUUUAAAAGUUAAAAUUCAACACUUAUACUAU